UGGCUCAGUGGUAAGAGCGCUUGCCUUGCAUGCCUGAGGCCCUAGGUUCGAUUCCCAG
rnacentral:tRNA from 1 species